CAUCUUAUGAUAGAGUUUAUUAGAGGAGGCAAGUCAUUCAUUCAAAAUUUAAGUGGAUUCUAUCGUAGGGAAACAGAGUUUAGAGAAAAGCUCAUGAAGUUCUUGAAUGAGGGAAGUAAAAGGAGAUUUGAGAGAGAACAUAGGCAAUUACAAGAAAGAAUAGAGAGACAAGAGAGAAGAAAAGAGAGAAAACGAGAAGAAGAAAAACAAAGACAAAGAGAGAGAAAGAGAGAUCAAGAAAGAAAAGAAGAGGAAGAAAGAGUGAGAAGAGAACUAGUGAGAAGAGAAGAGGAAGAAAGAGAGAA
rnacentral:lncRNA from 1 species